AUGGCUCAGGAUGAACGCUGGCGGCGUGCUUAACACAUGCAAGUCGAACGGAGUUUAGAGAGCUUGCUCUUAAACUUAGUGGCGGACGGGUGAGUAACGCGUGGUAACCUGCCUUUCACUGGGGAUAACAGUUAGAAAUGACUGCUAAUACCGCAUAAGCGCACAGGUUCGCAUGAACUAGUGUGAAAAAACUCCGGUGGUGAAAGAUGGACCCGCGUCUGAUUAGCUAGUUGGUGAGGUAACGGCCCACCAAGGCGACGAUCAGUAGCCGGCCUGAGAGGGUGAACGGCCACAUUGGGACUGAGACACGGCCCAAACUCCUACGGGAGGCAGCAGUGGGGAAUAUUGCACAAUGGGGGAAACCCUGAUGCCAGCGACGCCGCGUGAGUGAAGAAGUAUUUCGGUAUGUAAAGCUCUAUCAGCAGGGAAGAAAAUGACGGUACCUGACUAAGAAGCCCCGGCUAACUACGUGCCAGCCGCCGC
rnacentral:rRNA from 1 species